CACAGGCGCUGGGUAAUCUCCAUUCCUUUGAUCUCUGCCUAUCCCGUGGCUCAUUUUAGCCUGAGGAGCUAAAGCCAUUCAUAGGAAGGAUCCGAGUGUCCUGCGUGUAUUUCUUGCUGGCGAGGAAUACAGAGCGGGCGCGGGACAUAUGGUGCCGAAACCCGGGAAUUGUUAACAUCUCCAGCACCUCGGAGACCCCUUGGCUACAAGGCGGAUUCAGAACUGCAGGAUGGUAAAUUCGGAGAGGUAUGAUUUUUCUGGACUUUGGCUAAAGAAGUCCAGAAUUACAUAUCAGAAACCGAAUGUAAUGAGAGAAAUUCGGAGAGGUAUGAUUUUUCUGGACUUUGGCUUGGGAAUGUUGCUAUUGUGGGAGGUUAAUAUAGAGGCUUCUAUGCUUUUACUAGGAAUCUUAAAGAAGUCCAGAAUUACAUAUCAGAAACCGAAUGUAGUGAGAGAUGGGGCGCGCCUAACAAUAAAAUAUAAGAAAAAAGGACCUCCCGGGAUGUCUAGUGACAUGGGAGUGUAUGUAAGAAGAGAAACUACAACAUAUAAGAAAAAAGGACCUCCCGGGGUGUCUAGUGACAAGGGAGUGUAUACAGCAACAAAUAAGAAAAAAAGACCUCCUGGAAUGUCUACUGACAAGGGAGUGUAUAAAGCUUUAAAUCUUAAUAGCUCUGAUAACUCUAAAAGCUCAAGAGAUAAAGUUUUAAAAGGAACAACUCAGCUGGAUGAGGGAGAGACAGAGAAGAAGAGAGAAAGAAUGGGGAAUAACCGGUCACACCCCGGUAAAUUUAGGAGAGAUGAGGAACCUAGCCUCUGCCCUGCAACGAAACUGGAAGCCUUGGAGCUGAGCAGCUCAGACUCUGAGAUUUUAGACUCUAACAAGAAAGCAGAGCUAGAGGAGGAGCUGCC
rnacentral:lncRNA from 1 species